GGGUGGAUAAAUAAGUUAUGGUUCAUUCAAACAUUUGGAAUAUUAUUUUGUCAUUAAAAUUUUUUUGUGGAUGUAUAUUCAUUGAUAUGGAAAUGCCACUUGAAGCAGAAAAUGACAACCUAAAAGAAAAAGAUCUGUGAUUUGCAAAUAGAUAAAUGAUAUCAAACUAUAACCUGCAACACAAACAGUCUAAGUGCAAAUAAAACAUUGUAACACAUUUUUAGGACUUACGUGUCAAGCUAAGAUAACAGCAGCAGUAACACAACACAGAUCCACACGUUCCAAAGACCACGGAAUAUUCCAGCAAGUCAUCUAGUUUAUAAAUCUGACAAGUCACCGUCCAGAUCAUGCUUACUAACUUCUGCCAUAAAACCACCCACGACUAACUCCAGUUCCUGAAAUCCUGGCACUGAACAUGUUUCUUCCAGAGAUGACUGCAGUCAUGAUAUCCUGGCAUUUAACUUCAAAACACUGAAUAUCCUAUGGCUACUAAAUAAUAAUCAACACUGCGCACCUACUAUGAGCUACAAGCAUUAUCUCAUUUAUCCUCAUAACAACCUUGUGAGAGUACAGCACCCUUUGAGCUCCACCAGCACCAGCCCCAGAUCCACAAACAUCUUCAUAGGACAAUGUGUCAAAACCAGCUCUGAAAGAAACACAUGGUUGACGCUGACAUCGUGUAUGGUACCUUUCUCCGGAAUGACUAUGAAGUUGAUUCAGCACUUUUCUAAGAAAAAGAGGAACAAUCAAAAUUACACUGCUCUUUUCAGGCUACUUAGAGGAGCACAAAUAACGUAGAAAAGCAUGGAAAGAAAUUGUAUUUCUGUCAAAUAGGCUGCAUGUGUCAUAACAGAUGCCUUAUUGGUAGAAUAGGACUAAAAUAAAAUUUAUGACUAAGAAGAAAACUUUAUUUUA
rnacentral:lncRNA from 1 species